rnacentral:lncRNA from 1 species
AGCAAUGUCGCAAGUGAGGUAAUCUUCACACAACCCAUGUAAUACAUAAGGGAAAGAGAUACAUAGUUGGCUUACAAUCGCCACGUCACACAAUACAUGAAUAAAGCAUUACAUCAUCCAGAUACAAUCAAGGUCCGACUACGGAACCAAAAUAAAAGAAGACUAUCCCAAAUGCUACACAGAUCCCCGAUCGACCCCAACUGGGCUCCACUACUGAUCAACUGGAAAUGGAUCAACACAAAGGACAAGAUCUUCAUCGAGCUCCUCCUUGAGCUUGGUUGCGUCAUCUACUCAGUAACAUCGACACCUGCAAACUGGUUUUGGAAGUAUCUUUGAGUCACGGGGACUCAGCAAUCUCUCACCCUCGUGAUCAAGACUAUUUAAGCUUAUAGGUAAGGCAAAGGUAUGAUGUGGAGCUGCAGCAAGCGACUAGCAUAUAUGGUGGCUAACUUAUUCGCAAAAGAGAGCGAGAAGAGAAGGCAAAAGCACAGUCGAACAACUAUGAUCAAGAAGUGAUCCUAGAACAACCUACGUCAAGCAUUACUCCAACACCAUGUUCACUUCCCGGACUCCGUCGAGAAGAGACCAUCACGGUAACACACGCGGUUGAUGCAUUUUAAUUAAGGUCAAAUUUAGGUUUUCUACAACCGGUCAUUAACAAAUUCCCAUCUGCCCAUAACCGUGGGCAUGGCUUUCGAAAGUUCAAAUCCCUACAGGGGUGUCCCAACUUAGCCCAUCACAAGCUCUCACGGUCAACGAAGGAUAUUCCUUCUCCCAAGAAAAUAUGAUCAGGCUCGGCAUCCCGGUUACAAGACAUCCUCGACAAUGGUAAAACAAGUCCAGCAACACCGCCCUAAUGUGCCGACAAAUCCCGAUAGGAGCUGCACAUAUCUCCUUCUUAGGGCACACUCAGAUAGGUCAAGCUACGAGUAAAACCAGCCCUCGAGUUUCCCCGAGGUGGCCCCGCAGGCUGCCCGUUUCGGACCAACACUUAGAGAAGCACUGGCUCGGGGGGUUAAAAUAAAGAUGACCCUUGGGUCCGCAAAACCCAAGGGAAAAAGGCUAGGUGGCGAAUGGUAAAACCAAUGUUGGGCAUUGCCGGAGGAGUUUUAUUCAAGGCGAACUGUCAAGGGGUUCCCAUUAUAACCCAACCGCGUGAGGAACGCAAAAUCCGGGAACAUAACACCGAUAUGACGGAAACUAGGGUGGCAAGAGUGGAACAAAACACCAGGCAUAAGGCCUAGACUUCCACCCUUUACCAAGUAUAUAGAUGCAUUAAUUAAAUAAGAGAUAUUGUGAUAUCCCAACAAAAUGUCCAUGUUCCAACAUGGAACAAGCUACAAUCUUCACAUGCAACUAACAACGCUAUAAGAGGGGCUGAGCAAAGUGGUAACAUAGACAAACAAUGGUUUGCUAGGACAAGGUGGGUUAGAGGCUUGGCUCAACAAUAUAGGUGGCAUGAUAAGCAAGUGGUAGGCAUCGUAGCAUAGGCAUAGCAAAAGAGCGAGCAACUAGCAAGCAAAUAUAGAAGUGAUUUCGAGGGUAUGGUCAUCUUGCCUGAGAUCCCGCAAGGAAGAAGAACGAGUCCAUGAAGAAGACA